AGUGAACGCUGGCGGUAGGCCUAACGCAUGCAAGUCGAACGGCAGCACAGUAAGAGCUUGCUCUUACGGGUGGCGAGUGGCGGACGGGUGAGGAAUACAUCGGAAUCUACUUUUUCGUGGGGGAUAACGUAGGGAAACUUACGCUAAUACAGCAUACGACCUACGGGUGAAAGCAGGGGUUCUUCGGACCUUGCGCGAUUGAAUGAGCCGAUGUCGGAUUAGCUAGUUGGCGGGGUAAAGGCCCACCAAGGCGACGAUCCGUAGCUGGUCUGAGAGGAUGAUCAGCCACACUGGAACUGGGACACGGUCCAGACUCCUACGGGAGGCACCAGUGGGGAAUAUUGGACAAUGGGCGCAAGCCUGCUCCAGCCAUACCGCGUGGGUGAAGAAGGCCUUCGGGUUGUAAAGCCCUUUUGCUGGGAAAGAAAAGCAGCAGGUUAAUACCCCGCUGUUCUGACGGUACCCAAAGAAUAAGCACCGGCUAACUUCGUG
rnacentral:rRNA from 1 species